rnacentral:rRNA from 1 species
AUUGAACGCUGGCGGCAUGCUUUACACAUGCAAGUCGAACGGUAACAGGGUGCUUGCACCGCCGACGAGUGGCGAACGGGUGAGUAAUGCGUCGGAACGUGCCGAGUAGUGGGGGAUAACGCAGCGAAAGUUGUGCUAAUACCGCAUACGUACUGAGGGAGAAAGUGGGGGACCUUCGGGCCUCACGCUACUCGAGCGGCCGACGUCUGAUUAGCUAGUAGGUGAGGUAAAGGCUCACCUAGGCGACGAUCAGUAGCGGGUCGGAGAGGAUGAGCCGCCACCCUGGGACUGAGACACGGCCCAGACUCCUACGGGAGGCAGCAGUGGGGAAUUUUGGACAAUGGGCGAAAGCCUGAUCCAGCCAUGCCGCGUGUCUGAAGAAGGCCUUCGGGUUGUAAAGGACUUUUGUCAGGGAGGAAAUCCCUAGUGCUAAUAACACUGGGGGAUGACAGUACCUGAAGAAUAAGCACCGGCUAACUACGUGCCAGCCGCCGCAGUAA